GCCAAUCAGAAAUUGUUGUGCUCAUAUAUUAAAUAUAGAAACACUCUUCAGUAUCAAACAAGACACGUCCACAAGACGAUCAGGGUAGCAGACCCAGAAGGUUCCUGACCUGUCGGCACUAGGAAGUUUUAACCGUUAUUGUGCGUCUCUGUCUCACCAUCAGGAUGGCUCGUAUGUCCUACCAGUCCUUCUCUUCUGUUUUCUUACCGUGGCUUGCGCUCAGACUCCUACCAGCGAAGACAGCUGCGAUGGUGUAGAAAUACCAGAACAUCACCAGUGCAAUCUGCAAUAAAAAGGGACAAGCUGUAACUCUACAGGUGCGCAAUUUCCUCAAGCCACCCUUGUUUCAAGAGGCGGUGUCCGUGAUUUGCACCCGCUACGAAACUCUGUUCUACAUCAUGCAGCAAGCUGCUGACAUCAACAAAGCUUUCAAUAUCUUAUGACCACGCGGGACAUCCUGGAUUUUUCGUCGACGCCAUGAACCAAGUGUACAGCACGUGGGAAACGGACAAGUCCUAUUGGGAGAUUCUUGACUCAGACCUGAAGCACAUUCCAGUGGGAGUGAGUUUCUACAAACCUAAACCCUAUGAGACUGUGACCUUCAACCUGACUAUUUACACCGGUCCACAUGACUGAGGACGGGGUGCGGAUCAGACUCAGGUGACCAGCAUGGAAGGAAAGUAACUCCAUAUCAGUCCCUGAUGAAAGAGAAAAAAAAAAUAUUACCUCGUAUAGUUUGUAACAUCUCAGAGAUUCGUUCGCGAUCUCCAGUCCCUCCCAAAUGGGACCCAAUACUGUUGGCCACGCAUCUUAAAUGUCACCCGAUUUCUUUCAAGAGGAAUAAAAAAAGCAAGUUCAGAGGUGUGUUUAUAAUAAUAUAUAAUAGAAUAAUAGCAGCAAUAAUAAUAAUAAUAAGAAGAAGAACAACACCAACAACAACAAAGGGAAGAAGAAAAAGAAAUGGUUGAUCUGAGCCAAUCCCUAGACGACGGAGAACUUCGUUCUCUCAACAAGGGCAGCAUGGAAGGAGACCGUGUAGAAGAGGACAGAACAUCAUUGACAGAACAUAUAUCCACAUGCACAGUUAGUGUACAUACAUGUACAGUAAAUAAACCCCCACAUUCACUCCUCCCCAUGCACAGUUUUUAAUGUCAUGGUCAUGAUGAAACGCUGAUAAGAGUUUGAGGACAAAGGACAGUCAGGGGAGACUAUGCAGACAGGGCAGACAAUUACACUAGGUAUUUCCGAUAAAACAGAGACUGAAAGUCUAGACUGGAAAGCACGUAAACGUCCCACCUAUGCAUAGAGAGACAGAGACAGGUCAUUCAUCAUACCGGAGAUAAGGAGAAAGAGAAGGAGCAAUGUCCAGACUUCUCCAGGCUAAUAAGUGGUACAGUGGGGACACUGGCGAGGGCAGAAUGAACUGACCUGCUACACUUGCAGGACGACUGAUUAGAAUGAAGCCGUAAACAAAGUAAAGUAUGGUGAGUUUAAAUUCUACCCCUAACUGGUACCCAGUGCAGAUGUCACAGAGGUGUUGGAGAAUAAUCGCCCUUCCGCUUGCGGAAUACAAUGAGAAUAUCCUUCUGAGGUCUGAGCUCUUUGAGCUUGUCGAGCAGGUGACCAUGGACAUCCAGAAAAGAAAGUUACAAAAGUCGAGCCUGGACAGUUCAGAUAGUGACAUAAGCUUUCAAUACUUGGGGGAAGCAGCAGAGAGAUGCCUGAUGCGGUUGUUCUUGCACAGCUGUUGAAAGGCAUGUUUCUAUGACAUACAAUGUGCACACCUGUCAUUUAAAUACUACACCUGAACACCCAAUCCUGGACUUCUGCUGUUACCAGUCCAGCGAUUAAUGAACGCAGUUUCCGCUCAGGGACCAUCCAGUAGUUUUAGACUAGAACUUUCUUUCAAUCCAUUUAACCAGUUAACAUCCGUCUCAGUAGGCGGGGAAUCCGGAUACUUCAAACAGGAUAUAAGCAGGUUAAAGCUAAAAAUAUUCUUCUCGGUGGAGCUAAAAAAAGUCAGAAAUGUUUACUUUGACUAGUUGUUCUUGCUUAAAGAAACUAACACAAAACACUGUCACGUGACUGACAUAAUUUUCUCAUUUAUGUCUGGUAAACAAGAUUUAUUUCAACAAGCACUCAGCUUGACUAUUUACACCGAUCCCCAUUGUGUCGCGAAUGCCCAGAGAGUGAGGUUAGCUUAAAGGAAAAAAAAAAAUUAGGAGUAUCUUUCUUCCGUCUCAUGAGCUGGAGGGAGGGACCAAGAGCAGUCAAUCAUUUUUAACUUUAACCAGGAGGACAAACUAUUCGAGAGUAUAAAAGGAGUGGGCUAUGACACACACGGUGGCAUGUGAUUUUAUUUCGCUGUUAAAUACAGUCAACCAUAGUUCAGAGACAUUGUGAAACACUAUCACUCUCUGUGUAUUGAAGAUGAUUCGUUUCCUCCCGAUACUGCUGUGCUUUUCGGGCUUCUGGACAACGCAAGGGGAGCAAAUCCCAACAGAAGUUGUAGACGCAUUGAAACACAGGAUCGGCAUCAAUGUGAUGUGUGCCAGAGAGAACCAAGGGAUGUCACUCUACUGGUACGCAACAUACUCAAGCAACCUUUCUUCGAAGAAGAGGUGACCAUCCCCUGCACGCGCUACGAAACCCUCUUCUACAUCAUGCAACAAGCUGCUGAGGUCAACCUGGCUUUCAAGUUCACGGCGACUUACAACCACGCCGGACAUCCUGGAUUUUUCAUCCACGCCAUCAACAACACGUUCAGCACGUGGGAAGAGGACAGGUCCUACUGGGAAUUCUGGAUGGUGACCUCAACCACACUCCUGUGGGUGUGAGCUCCUACAAACCCAAGCCAACGAGAUUGUCACCUUUAACCUGACUAGGUACACCGGUCCCCACUGACGAUGGAAGGAAUGUUCACUUGUGGAUGAGACUCGGGCAACCAGAAUGGAUGUGAUGCCACUAGGUCAUCGUCAGAACUGAACGAACAAUAUUUUCUCAUAAAAUCUUUUCAUUAUUUCUGAUAUUUGGCCUCUCUUCCUCUUGUAUUCAAUAAAUGGCUUCCACUUUCUGGAAAAACAAA
rnacentral:lncRNA from 1 species